UCUUGUGUUUCCCAGUGCUUUUGGAGUAUCUCCCUUUUGGACUAUGCAUUUGGAUUUUGCAUUAUUGCCUGUGCCAUCCUAGAUUUGCUUACCUUUUGUCUGGACUUACUUUGCUUAGUUUUGGUCUGCCUGCCUCACCAUCACAUUGAGCGCAGCAGCACUGGAGAGGAUAGGAAAAAGUACCUCUUAGUCACAUUUAAAUGUGACAGAUGAAUACAUACAUCCAACAAGCCUUGGAGAAAGCAGCUCUUGUCAUCCAAACAUCCAAGAUGUUCUGUAUUCUCACCAGAAUUUCUCUCCCAUGUAGAUUGCCUACAAUGCUAUCAAAUAAUAUAAAUAAUAUAUGAGACGUAAACUCCAUCAAUUUGUUGUUGUCAUGGAUAUCUAGCGAACAGACUGUUUGUUUUGUUUCCGUUUCCUAUUUUACCUCAGGCCAUGGUAAGCACAGUUGUUAGUGUUUCCUGGGAUCUCCUUUUGUUUGUGUGUUUGCGUGUGCGCACAGUCAUGUAGGAUUUAUUUUCUUUCUACCAUUUUUCACUUAUGGAUAACCAUGGGUGUGGUGGAUUUACUGUAUGUUCGUUAUGGAUGCAUGGUGAUUUCUUCUGAAUAUACAUGUGGAAUGAAAACUGUA